UACGAAGGGGACUAGCGUUGUUCGGAAUCACUGGGCGUAAAGCGCACGUAGGCGGAUUUAUAAGUCAGGGGUGAAAUCCCGGGGCUCAACCUCGGAACUGCCUUUGAUACUGUGAAUCUUGAGUCCGAUAGAGGUGGGUGGAAUUCCUAGUUUAGAGGUGAAAUUCGUAGAUCUUGGGAAGAACCCCGGUGGCGAAGGCGGCUCACUGGCCCGUAACUGACGCUCAGGCGCGAUAGCGUGGGGAUCAAACAGG
rnacentral:rRNA from 1 species